CACGGGGGGAGCAAGCGUUGUUCGGAUUCAUUGGGCGUAAAGGGUGCGUAGGCGGCGCGGUAAGUCGGGUGUGAAAUCUCGGAGCUUAACUCCGAAACUGCAUUCGAUACUGCCGUGCUUGAGGACUGGAGAGGAGACUGGAAUUUACGGUGUAGCGGUGAAAUGCGUAGAUAUCGUAAGGAAGACCAGUGGCGAAGGCGGGUCUCUGGGACAGUUCCUGACGCUCAGGCACGAAAGCGUGGGGAGCAAACAGG
rnacentral:rRNA from 1 species